rnacentral:tRNA from 1 species
CGGCGAAGUCGCGCGGCUCGAGCGUCUCGUCGUCGAACCGCGCGGUGAAGUCGUCGAGGCGCAGCGUGAACGGUUCGAGGCUGUCCUCGCUGA